UACGUAGGGUGCGAGCGUUGUCCGGAAUUAUUGGGCGUAAAGGGCUCGUAGGCGGUUUGUCGCGUCGGGAGUGAAAACCCAGGGCUUAACCCUGGGCUGGCUUUCGAUACGGGCAGACUAGAGGUAUGCAGGGGAGAACGGAAUUCCUGGUGUAGCGGUGAAAUGCGCAGAUAUCAGGAGGAACACCGGUGGCGAAGGCGGUUCUCUGGGCAUUACCUGACGCUGAGACGCGAAAGCGUGGGGAGCGAACAGG
rnacentral:rRNA from 1 species